rnacentral:rRNA from 1 species
CGGACGGGUGAGUAAUGUCUGGGAAACUGCCUGAUGAGGGGAUAACUACUGGAAACGGUAGCUAAUACCGCAUAACGUCGCAAGACCAAAGAGGGGGACCUUCGGGCCUCUUGCCAUCGGAUGUGCCCAGAUGGGAUUAGCUAGUAGGUGGGUAACGGCUCACCUAGGCGACGAUCCCUAGCUGGUCUGAGAGGAUGACCAGCCACACUGGAACUGAGACACGGUCCAG